rnacentral:pre_miRNA from 1 species
AGGGGAAUAGCUGGGUCAAAUGGUGGUUCCAUUCCCAGCUUUCCAAGGAAUCUCCAUACUCAUACUGCUUUCCAAAUUGGCUGCACCAAUUUGCAGUCCCACCAGCAAU